CACGUAGGCACCAAGCGUUGUCCGGAUUUAUUGGGCGUAAAGAGCGUGUAGGCGGUCCGGUAAGUCCGCUGUGAAAGUCGGGGGCUCAACCUCGAGACGUCGGCGGAAACCAUCUGGCUAGAGUCCGGAAGAGGAGAGUGGAAUUCCUGGUGUAGCGGUGAAAUGCGCAGAUAUCAGGAAGAACACCCGUGGCGAAGGCGGCUCUCUGGGACGGUACUGACGCUGAGACGCGAAAGCGUGGGGAGCGAACAGG
rnacentral:rRNA from 1 species